rnacentral:rRNA from 1 species
UACAGAGGGUGCGAGCGUUGUCCGGAAUCACUGGGCGUAAAGGGCGCGUAGGUGGUGGCUUAAGCGUGCGGUGAAAGCUCGGAGCUCAACUCCGAGUCGGCCGUGCGAACUGGGCUCACUGGAGCAUAGUAGAGGCAGGUGGAAUUCCGGGUGUAGCGGUGGAAUGCGUAGAGAUCCGGAAGAACACCGGUGGCGAAGGCGGCCAACUGGACCAUUACUGACGCUGAGGCGCGAAAGCGUGGGGAGCAAACAGG